GAUGAACGCUGGCGGCGUGCCUAAUACAUGCAAGUCGAGCGAACAGACGAGGAGCCUGCUCCUCUGACGUUAGCGGCGGACGGGUGAGUAACACGUGGAUAACCUACCUGUAAGACUGGGAUAACUUCGGGAAACCGGAGCUAAUACCGGAUAAUAUAUUGAACCGCAUGGUUCAAUAGUGAAAGACGGUUUUGCUGUCACUUAUAGAUGGAUCCGCGCCGCAUUAGCUAGUUGGUAAGGUAACGGCUUACCAAGGCAACGAUGCGUAGCCGACCUGAGAGGGUGAUCGGCCACACUGGAACUGAGACACGGUCCAGACUCCUACGGGAGGCAGCAGUAGGGAAUCUUCCGCAAUGGGCGAAAGCCUGACGGAGCAACGCCGCGUGAGUGAUGAAGGUCUUCGGAUCGUAAAACUCUGUUAUUAGGGAAGAACAAAUGUGUAAGUAACUAUGCACGUCUUGACGGUACCUAAUCAGAAAGCCACGGCUAACUACGUG
rnacentral:rRNA from 1 species